rnacentral:rRNA from 1 species
CCAAUAGCGUAUAUUAAGGUUGCUGCGGUUAAAAAGCUCGUAGUUGAAUUUCGGGAUUGAUGCAUCGGUCGUGCCUUAAGGGGUAUGAACUGGUGUGGUCAAUUUCUUACCUUCUGGUGAAUUGUGAUGUCCUCCUUAAUUGGGUGUUUCAAUGAACUAGGACUUUUUACUUUGAAAAAAUUAGAGUGUUUAAAGCAGGCAUUAUUUGCUUGAAUACAUUAGCAUGGAAUAAUAAAAUAGGACAAUGAUUCUAUUUUGUUGGUUUCUAGGAUCACUGUAAUGAUUAAUAGGGAUAGUUGGGGGCAUUAGUAUUCAAUUGUCAGAGGUGAAAUUCUUGGAUCAAUUGAAGACUAACUACUGCGAAAGCAUUUGCCAAGGAUAUUUUCAUUAAUCCAGAACGAAAGUUAGGGGAUCGAAGACGAUUAGGUACGUCGUAGUCUUAACCAUAAACUAUGCCGACUAGGAAUCAGACAACGUUAAAUUUUUAAUGACUUGUUUGGCACCUUACG